GACCAGUCUUUCCUGUAUUCAUCUUUCCCCCGAUUAUUCCCCACGUCGGCGGUCAGAUCCAUAGGCCCUCACGACGUUGAUCUGUCUGAGCCCUGCUCGCUCCAGCGGCCUUCCCACGAUGGCGGUCAGAGCCAGAGGACCUCCCUCAUGGCAUUGCUCUGCUCCAUGCCGUUCUGCGUCGGCGGCCGCCAUGGACAGAUCGGACAUUCGGACACGACGCGUCCCCAGUUCCAGCGGGAUCGGGAAGGAAGAGGACGGCGAUCUACGGAGUACAGCUGAAGCUCAUGUUCUCCUGUUGUUCUUCACUCUUUUUUUUCCCUUUGCUCACACGAGCCGUACAUAGCCCGUUGCUUCAACUGCUGUGCAGCCCAAUGCUUGAAAUGGCCCACACUGUUUAUCUUCUCCGUUUCCAUAACUACCUCCUAAAAAGAAAAAAAUCUGCUGCAGGUAAUUGAUGGUCGACGCUCCGCUUCCUCUCCCCACGAUGUCCACAAGAAACUGACGGGUUCCCUUUUAAAGUUGCUGCCCCACUCAUUUUAUUCCCAUCGUCCUCCCAUAUGGAUGGAUGUCUGCCAUACGACGCUCAUACUGCUGCCAGUGCCUUCCAUUUAAAUCCUUCGGGUUUCUUCUCGGCUGCCUUGGGAUCGAGCUGCUGUUUUCUUACUGAAGAUUACUCCCCACACACUCUCCAAUAUGAAGAGUACUUCCCAGGCACGCUCCAAUCUGAAGGCACAGUGAAGAGUUUCCUGGUGUCACAAGCUUACUCCAAAUAUCACAUAUACAAGUGUGUAAAGACUAUCUAGCACAUGCUCAUCGGUGCUUCCGUCGGACUGCGCAUCAUGGGGUCGAAGCCUCCUGAUCGAGGUGCAUGCUUCAAGAUAAAUCAACCUUGCGGUCAUGGUGAUGUUGAAGUCUCCCUUCAUCUCCAUCUGAUGCAUCACACAGCUGGCUCUACGGUUAUUACGAUGUUUUCUGUUUCUCCAUCUCGCUGCCAGCUUGCAGCCUAAGCUUUACAUAAUGCAGAAGCAUGCAUAGUUGCGCAUCAGAGAAGGCAAAAGUAAUAAUAAUCAGAGGUGCCUAGGUAUACUAUCGUGAAAGACAACCCAAAAUAAAUAGCAGUAUGUUGCACAAAAUUGUUCCGCUGAGAAGACUAAAAAGUGAGUCUCUUGAUUUAUAGGUGACCCUUUUAUUAUAGAAAAUCAGAUUAUGUGUAAACCCACGUUUUAUAUAAUUUUUCAAUGGAAUGCACA